rnacentral:tRNA from 1 species
AGGGUGGCAGCUCAGACGAGGUGAGAGCGCAGAGCUGAUAACUCUGAGGCCGCCGGUUCGAUUCCGGCCCACUCUGCCA